CAGGCCUGCUCCAGCUUUCCCAAUCAGCUGUGAGAGGGAGAGCUGGAGACAAAGGAGCUGCAGAUCUGAAUAUCCAGUGAGCUUGGAGCCAUGAAGCUGCCAUGCACUGAUCUUUAAAAGGAAUUGGCCAGGUGAUUUCCCCUUUUUGGGGUUAAAGGAUGGCGAGCUUCUAAGAUCUGGCUGGAGCCAGGAGAACCGAAUUUCACUCCAUACUGGUCUGGUAGGAGUUUGAUGGUCCAUGAACUUUCCCCUCCUUCUCAUUACACAGACACACUACCCAUUAUUCACCCUUUCCAUCAGAGCUGAAUUGCGCUUGGACAUUUUCCCUUAAAGUUUCUGGAUAAACAAACUAUGGACUUUUAAAUGUGUGUCGGUCAGACAUUGUGUUGACCAAGCGGGGAAAAGUGAAGGACUCUGUGCACAUUAGAACAUCAACUGCAGUAUUGUGUGUAUAUAUUUAUUGUAUUUUGGUUUCCAUGUAUGUUUUGUGUUUUGUAUUGUUUAUUUAAUUUUCUUCUUUAAAAAAAAUACAUAGUAUUGAAAACAGUUACUCUCUUGUAUUGUUUUAUUGAUUUCUGACGACAGCUCCAGCAGACGAAUUUAGUUUUCUGAUGUCAGAAGUUAUUUAGUCCUUCAGUGCAUUAAGUACUGCUACAUUAUAAACAUCAAAUAGUGCUACACAUCUUCCGGUACAAUUACCAGA